AAUGGAAAUUUAUUCUUUAUGCAUUUAUAUUAUUUUUGUACUCUUCAGUGUAUGAUUUAUGUCAGUCAUGACAUUUUAAUCUGCGUGGGGUGAAGUCUAGGACAGGAAGUCUAGCUCGAUAGAGCUCGGGAUAGGAAGUAUGGCAAGGUGCAAGUGUGGUUUUUGUUUGUGUGAUGAUGUGCUUAAAGAACCUAUGUAUCGUCUGCCUGGAUACAAGUAGAGUAAAUAUAACCACCCAGAAGUGUCUAAACUACACCUAAUAAGGAGUUGUUUUGAUCGAAUAGCAUGGGGGGGGUGGUACAAACUCAAUGUCAGUAUAUAAUGAAGGAAGGAUUUGAGAUUCUUCACUUCUUCACAUAUCGUUUCACUGUCGUUAUGUGUCGAGUCCUUGUACAAGUAAAUAAAUCAUCUCUGAUGGACAGAUCCUGGUAUUCGUAUUAUUUUUCCACGACAAUUGCAACACGGUUCUGGCUAGAAGGGAUACAGCUACGAACAAAUCUAGCAAGAUAUUGGGUUUAGGGUUAGGUUUAUGGGUAGGAUUAGGACGAAAAACAGUGGUUCAGGCUAGAUAGGAUAAAGUUACGGCCUAAGUCCUAUACAAUGUUGGGUUUAGGGUUAGGAUAAUGCUGCGGUAGAGGCGUGAAGCGCAAGUGAUUUCAAUGUUAAGUCAAUGUGAAGACGCGUUGACGUGCGUCUGGAGGUUCCGAGGCGCGGAUGAGGCGUUUGCCGCAUCUGCCGCGUUUCCGCCUCAUUCGCGCGUCUAGCUUGCUCGAAAGGCGCGAAUUGAGCGUUGUGCGUGGUACGCGCGAAUUGUGCUUUUGUGCAUUUUGUGUUUGACGCGAAUUGCAGGCUGACGCCCGAGUUGAAAAAUUUGAACUUUGUCGGAAUUUCGCACCACAUUAACCAAUCAGGAGCCUGCUUGCCCCGCCGGAGUCACUUAUUCAACCUGAAGUAACGCUUGAUAUUGUCCGUAAGCUGUCACCCUAUACGACAAGUUCUUUCUAUAGAGACAGGAAUAAAAAGGACCUCGCUUGGAAGAGUGUCAGUGAGGACAUCGGGCAACCUGUCCCCUUUGCUCCAUCUGGAGUUUGAGACACAGUCAGGGAUUCGACAGGGUUUGGUAGAGGGGGGACGGGGGAGUCGAGAACAUUUAGACUCCUGCGUUUUGUGUUCACCCUCAAUUACACAAGAGAUCUCUCGAUGCUGCAGACCAUUCCCACACGAUGACGAACACUACAGACAAUAACACAGUACACAGUCUUGCGAUGGAAAGAGCGUAUGACUUGCUGUCUUCCACUUGGGGCACCUCCCACCUCUGCACCGCUUUUGCUUAUGUGGGAGGGGCAGGUGCAUGCAGUUCUCCUCUGUGAUUGGCUGGCCGGACUGACUGGCGCACGUCACAUUACGAUAUCUGAAGCCUUUCCCACAGGAAGCAGAGCACUGCAAGAAGAUGAGAAACAAAGUUCAACACUUGUUAAUCAUAAACCACAACUAACAAUAGCAAAUAUGGGCUUUUAAGUUUGUGUGCUAGUUCAAGUGAAUAUUUUGGACAAUUUAUGGAAAAUCCUUUUUUAGUAAUCAGUGUUAAACUUUUUAUAUUUAUUACAGUUUAAAUCAAAUUUUAAUUAAUGAUUAAUGUAGGACAGAAAUUUCUGGACUUUUAUAAUGCAGUGUUUAAAAAAAAUAGUAGCAGGUAACUAGUAUUAUACUAUCGGAUUUAUCAUAUAUUGGAUUUAUUGUAUACGUAGAAAAUAAAAUAGUGUGUCUUUGAAUCAUAAAGAAUGGCUAUCACAAAAUAAUUGUCAAGCUUUUCCGGUUCUGGGUUUAUGGAGCACACAAGGAUUUAAACCUUUGACUAUAACGCUCAGCACUUUAGCGGAGCUGAAAGGAGGGGAGAAGCUUGGGCCCCAGGAUGGGAGAGGAACGAAUAAUCAAAGGGCCUGAUCGAGAGAGGAUGAAUGUGAGGCGACAAGUCUGAGGUUAAACGAGUGCAUUACCCAGCAUGCUUACAUAGAAUACAGGAACUACGAGAGCACAGCUCCCUAACUGGAUAAUGCGCUCCUGUGAAUAACUUUUCAAGUUACUGAAAGUGUGUCAUGGGUGUAUUUAAGUUUGAAAGCAGAACAAAAAACACUGAACAAUCAUUUAAGUUUUAACUUUUAAAUCAAUAUAUAUUUGUUAUAAAUAAUUACAGCACCAAUAUAUACAAUUGGUUUAAAUGAAUACAAACUGUACAAAAUUGAAGAACAUAUACAAGGGCAGCAAAAUAACAAAGUAUAAACAAAUAUACAUUCCUUUUCAAAACUAAACCACCAUUUAACACUGUUUUAAUCCACUUUGUGAGAAUAUAAGUGUUACCCUAAAGAGGCGUCAGUAUUGUAAGAUUUUUAUCAGCCAAGAUUUACAGAUGCAUUGCAUAUGAACUGUGCAGAUUGCAGAUGUGUACUUGUUUAUGUGGACAGGCUGUCUGUUUAGUUUACUGUCAGCAAGAUACUGCUGGGGGUUUAAAUCUACACAAGUCCCUGUUGCUCUCAUUACUAUCUUUAUUAAAGCAUCAUUUAAAUUGCGUUGAGUCGCUCUUAUCAAAAU